rnacentral:lncRNA from 1 species
GAUGUUAUAUUAUGUAGCGUGGUGUAUAGUAAGUUAGUAAUUGUUAUGAAUUAAUUCGGUAAAGAUAAGAAUAAUAUCAGUAGUAAGGGCGGCAUAUAUAUNUUUAUGAUUUUACGACAUCAUUUGCCUAGUGAACGAAGGGGCUCAAAAUCAACGGCUAAAAAUAAAAAUCUUACAAAAUGUAAUAAUAUGACAUUAAAAUUUUAAAUCAAAGAUAUUGAUCUUGUUUUAGAUAGUAUAAAGAAUUUUCUAUCAAAAUUUCACGUGAUUUGGAUAUUUCUACACCGUUAAACUUGCAAAUGGCUCACUACAGCCAUUGAAAUUUGUUGAUUUUGAGCCCAUUUGAUCACUAGGCAAAUGAUAUCGUAAAAUCAUAAAAUUUAUUUUCUAGAUGCUUCAAAUACUCUAGAUCAAGUUUAACGGAGCUGAUCGACGAUUCGAAAGUCGCAACAUCAAAAAUGAGCUGGAAGCACGGAAGGCUCUGUGCUUCCGAUAUAUAUAUAUAUAUAUAUAA